AUCCCUUGUGUCUUACUCAGCAUGUGUUAGUGGGCAGCCCGAGGAGGCCAGACCAAGCAAGAGCGAGGCUGCCCACGCGCUUCUGCAGGAGAGAAGCUGGCAAGUCAGGGCAGUACCUCCAGAAGAAGUCUGGUGUCCAUUGGCAUGUGAUGUGGGGGAGUCACCGGAAAGAGGGGCAGCUGGGAGUGUUAGUUCCAUCCUUGAGUGAAAUGUGGCUUCUUCACCUGUUGUUCUAAGCUGAGCUCAGGAUACAAAAAAUUUCAGGAGAGGAAGAAGAUAACAAAAUGUUCCCAGUGGAGAGAACAGUGUGAGACAAAGCCGGAAGGUCAUGAAAUGCAGGGGAAACCUAGGAAGCAGCAAGCAGAGGAGUGGAAGAGCUGUUUGGUUGGAGGAGUGAGAUGGCAGGAGUUGGGAACCAAGCACGCCUGCUGG